UCGGGAAUUUUGGGCAAUGGGGGAAAGCCUGACCCCGCAACGCCGCGUGAAGGAUGAAGUAUUUCGGUAUGUAAACUUCGUAAGAAUAGGAAGAAUAAAUGACGGUACUAUUUGUAAGGUCCGGCUAACUACGUGCCAGCAGCCGCGGUAAUACGUAGGGACCAAGCGUUGUUCGGAUUUACUGGGCGUAAAGGGCGCGUAGGCGGCGUGGUAAGUCAUCUGUGAAAUCUCCGAGCUUAACUCGGAACGGUCAGAUGAUACUGCUGUGCUAGAGUACAGAAAGGGCAAUCGGAAUUCUUGGUGUAGCGGUGAAAUGCGUAGAUAUCAAGAGGAACACCUGAGGCGAAGGCGGGUUGCUAGGCUGAUACUGACGCUGAGGCGCGAAAGCUAGGGUAGCAAACGGGAUUAGAUACCCAUGUAGUCCCUGAGCGGGCUGGCAAGGCGCAU
rnacentral:rRNA from 1 species